CAGCAGCAGCAGCAGCAGCAGCAGCAGCAGCAGCAGCAGCAGCAGCAGCAGCAGCAGCAGCAGCAGCAGCAGCAGCAGCAGCAGCAGCAGCAGCAGCAGCAGCAGCAGCAGCAGCAGCAGCAGCCGCCACCGGAGAUGGGACGAGGAACAAGAGAGGGGGAGCAAGUGGAAAAAUCAUUAUCUGAGCUCUGAAGGCUGUUUCAGGUGUGUGCUGCCAGAGGCUGUGACAGGUGUGGCGCAUCAGUAAUCAGCAGAUUGAGUGCAGGUGGAAGCCAGCGAAUUACGGACUCCGGCUCUCCCAUAAAACCCGACGCCACUCGUCGUUAGAUGCUGGACCGUCCUCAAUUCUCCAAUUCAGAGAGACUGCAUUUUGAAAUGAGCCAACUCUUCCCCCUGGGUUCUAAUGUCGGAAGGCCUGAGGUUGUUCUCUCAGCCCACCUGAGUCCGGCUAAGCAAUGGGAGUCACUGCAGGCCUGUUGCCGGGUAGAAGCACAUCUCCACCCCUCCCUGUGAUUGGCCGAUGUGGUCGUGGUAACCCCUCCUCCUGGAACACUGUUGUCUUCUCUGAGCACAGCCAUCUGUCACAAACAAGCGAUGGAAAGCAGCCUAACAACUGUUCUGAGGCCAGGUAUUUGCGAUGUGUUGGCUGCUAAAGUUAGAGAACACAGGGUUAGGUAAUCAGAUCCAGCAUCUGUCAGAGAACGACACGACAUGAGUCACAUCCAACGGUUUCAAUGGGUGACUUUGUUUUGAAAAAGAAAUGUCUUCACCUUCUCUUGCCACCAGUGUUCAAAGUUAUCUUCACUUUGUCACCACAGAGCAGAUAUUUGUUUAUAGCAUCAGUCAGUUUGACCCCCACAGUGAAAAGCAGGGAGAGCGCACGGUGCUGUUAGUGAAGUUAAUCAUCCACGGCCUUUUAAAUAUCUUUCAGUAUGUUUGUUUUUCUGUUGCUCCCUCCAGGGUCAGACAGAGAAAAGGCAUCAUCUAUCCACUGCUUCUCAGCCUCAUGUGGAGCAAAACAUAUCAAACUGACAAAAAAAAAUGAGUAUAAAAGUAUAAAGAUAACAGUCAAAAGUAAUAUUUAUCAUGCAGACAAUAAAUACACACACUCACCCAGUCACUUUAUUGCAAUAAAUUACAUAAAUUAUAAAUUAUAUUUUUAUGAAGUUUCAGCAUCUUUGUUUUAUUUUAAAGUUGCCAAUUCUACUUUAGUUGAGUUAAAAGUUAAUAUUUUUCCCCUCUAUGAUAUGUUUUGUAGAGUACAUUGUGUCACUGGAUACUAAUACUUACUGUUGUAAUUUUGUCAAAGUGAAUUUUAGGUGCUUUACAUGCAACCUGGUUCAAAUUUAAUAAAAUCUCUCAAUUAUAAGAGGUCCUAAUAUGGUUUUCAUGUGAAAUCUUCACCUAAACUGUAGUAACUAAUUGUCAAAUAUAGUUUGGGAAAAAAAGUGUAGCAUUUAGAAAAAAAUAUGUAUUAGCAGAAAAAAAUUAAACAAAUUACAAGUACGAGAAAUCAAAUGCAGCACUUAAGGAGAUGCACUGGCCAAACAGAAUCAAAAAUGUUCCUAAUUUCAGGGUGUAAACACGUUUAUUUCUGCUGUAAAGUUGAACAGUUUAAUAUAGAUUUACUGGCUUUUGGAGGUAGCCCCAUGUGGCCAAUCGAGGAACUGCAUGUUGAUGAAACGUUUAAUUUUUUUUAGCGUCAGAGGCUGUCACUUGAUCAAAUAUCAAGUUUAUUUAUUUAUUUUUUUACAUAAUAUCCAAAAUGAUAUACACUUACAAUUAGUUACUCUUAGAACUAGUGUUGCAUCAUUUUAAAUUAACAAUCGAUCAUUUCUAUUGUAUGUGGAAGUGGUUCCUGCAUGAAGAACCCACAGAGAAUUUUAACCUGACUCUUUCCUCCUUUUGCUAUUUUAUACUCUUCUGCAACUUCAUGUCCUAAUUUAAUUAAAUUUACAUCCUCAUGUUUUAGGAGCCGUAGGGAACUGCUUGAAGCAACAAAGCUCUAAAAAGCUCUGAAAAAGUGCAGCAACAAACAGCAGCAGAGAAAAUUAGCGACUAGCCAGAGAACAUCAAGGAGCAUUUACCAGCUGCACACAUUUUCCUGAGGGAUUGGUAAAAACAGAACUAAAAACACAGUCAAUAUAUUGAAGUUUCCUCAGGUCAGAAAAAAGCCAUGACUUAUUCUGCUGUGUCCAGAAACCAUUAGUUAUUGUAAGUUUAAAAAUAGAAUGACAGAUUUUAUAUAUUCCUUAUUUACGAGGAAUAUAGACAUAUUCUAAAAUAACUUCACAUAAUUUUAUGCUGCUGAUUCUAGUUAAUAUUCUGCUGCCAUUUAUUAUUAAGCCUUUAGGUUUUCUAAGGGAAAAGCACAUGUGUAACUAACAGUAUAAAUGAUGAUUAUGUUCCAUUCAGCGGUGCCAGUGAGCUCUGUCAUGACCCGGCGUGUACUACAGCGCUCAGGCACACCUAAUCGGAAUGCAGUUGUUACUGAUGGUAUUAGUUACACUGGUGUUUGACAGCUCAAAAUGUCUAUCAGAGGUCUGGAAGGGUGCUUCGCUGCUUAGCAUCACCAGUACGAGGCUGCACGAACCGGGAGGCAAUCAAGUGUGAGACUGAAUAAUGUAAUCCUCCCUCAGACUGCACCAACUCCUUCUUCUAAUUUCUGUGAAAAGAGGUGAUGUUCCUGGUUCUGUCCUUUUCACACUUUAUGCCAUCUGGCACUCUGUCACAAUAUGUAACCUUAAAUACUCUUUUUAUCAUCCUAAUGCCUCACCUUCUGCAACGUAAUUAGAUGCCAUGAGUAUUCUGGUGAUCUAUUUGUUGUAUCGGCGCAAAAUCAGAGGCUUUGUGUUGAUGCUGUCCUGAUUUCGAAUCUCCAAAUCAGGGUUACAUCAUGUGUAACUGAAUGCACCCUUCUGCACAAACCAUCCAUCAUCUAUACACCACUUAAUCCUCAUUAGGAGGGCUGGAGUCAGCUGACUAAGGGUGAAGGUUCACCUGGACAGGUAACAGUCUAUCACAGGGCUACAUAUAGAGACAAACAAUCACACUCACAUUCACGGACAAUUUUAGAAUCACCAAUUAACGUCAGCGUGUUUUUGGACCGGACUGUACAGUGGCUCAGUGGUUAGCACUGUCGUCUUGCAGCUGGAAGAUCCAAGGCUCGCGUCCCGGCCUUCCUGGGAUCUUUCUGCAUGGAGUUUGCAUGUUCUCUCUGUGCAUGUGUAGGUUUUCUCUGGGUUCUUCAGCUUCCUCCCACAGUCCAGAAACAUGCUGAGGUUAACUGGUCAUUCUAAACUGUCUGUAGCUGCGAGGCGACAGUGUGAACCACUGAUCCACGGUGCAGCCCUUUCUGCACAAACCUCUUUACAUGAAUAGAAAUGGAAUCAUUUUAGGAACAAACGCUUCAUUUGUCAUUCACUCUAGGAUGUAAACGCUUUGCUUGCAUUGUGCUUUAAUGCUUCAGGUGGGAAAGUAUUUUAACUCUGCAAGUCUAGAAGUGAGAGGAAACACUGAUUUAUCUUUUCCUCCUUGCAGAGACAGAAAAACAAGCAUGUGUCCUGAAUUAUCCAGAAAUAAAAAACACUGUGAAGGCAUCUGUUGUUGCCACUUUGGUUUCAGUUCUGAUGUAGUUGUUUGGUGUGUCUGUAUGUGGUGUUAGCAACCUGCUACGGAGCGCUAUUGUGCACACAGUUCACUAGCUGUAGUGCAGCGGCUUCGCAAAUACUGAAUCUGCAAAUCAAACAUUUGAAAUAACAUGCUGGGAGGGACGGCUGACCUGCCAAACACAGAGCGAGGCUGUUUGGAACAAAAGUGUCACAAAGGACGAAUUUAAAAAAAAAAAAAAAACCACACAUAUUUUGCACAGCGGUUCGUGGUUGUGUUGUUUAGCUUAUAAAAUGAGGAACCAGCAGUCCCCAGUCUCUCCUGAACUGUUGAUUGUGUGACAGAAAAUAGCGAUCAGCUCCCUGUUGGAUGUUUAUUGCAGAGUUUUUUUAAAUUACUUGGCAGUAAAACAACUUAAUGGAAAACGAAUACCAAGCAUAACAUCUUUUCCUUUUUUUACUCUGCCAAGGGAAUGGGGUGGAGCUAUGUGACAGUCACUGUACGUUUGUCCGUCUGUUUGUCUGCCUGUCUGUUUGUCUGUCUGGUGGUUUGUCUGUCUGUCUGUCUGUCUGUUAGCAACAUUACUUAAAAACAACGGGCCUUCCUCAGCUAACCAGAGUAAAUAAACGACCUUUUAACCAGCACCAAGUGGUCAGCUCAGCACUCUGAGUGGGUUAAAGUGGACGUGGGUGAAAUUUAACAAAGCAAAACCUGGAACCUGAAGGAACUUGAGCAACAGCGGUUUAUUAGUGCAAACAGAUAUUACUCGUGAGUAUCUGAUGUCCUUCCAGAGAUUAUAGUUGAUUGCCAACUUGAGCGGAGCUUUUUUUUUCUCAAACAUUGCAGCUGAAUUGGCUGCACAGUGGCUCGGUGGUUAGCACUGUCGCUUUGCAGCUAGAAGAUCCCUGGUUCACAUCCCGACUUUCCCAGGAACUUUCUGCAUGGAGUCUCCAUGUUCUCCUGCUGGGUUCUCCCUGGUUCUCCAGCUUCCUCCCACAGUCCAACAACAUGCUGAGGUGAACUGGUGAUUCUAAACCAGACCUGUGCAUCCUAUGGCCAGCAGGCCACAUCCGGCCCGCCGGACGACCCUGACUGGCCCGUAUGAGGUCAUUGGAAAAUACUAAAAGUCAUUGCAAAUAUAUAUCAUCACAAUACAUGCAAGCAAUACGCCUGCACUGCUUUUAUUUU